CCAUCAUGUUCCAGUAAGAAAGGACAUGUAUCAUUCUUUUUUGACUGCCCAGCAUUUAACCCUUUUCUUAUGUCUGGGGAAAUCCCUACCUGCCAAUGUAGAAGCCAUUAAACUAAACCCUUUAAAUGCAGAAUUUCACAACCCUUAGACUAAACAUUGUAAUUGGCUUUAUUUCACAGAUGGUCUUGGACCUAAAAAGGAAUAAGGAAAAACUCCAACAAAUCAGUCCGAUAUAAGCAGUAUCUAAGGCAAGUAAAAUAGAAAGACAAAGCCUCCUUUGGCUCCCAUUUUAAUCAAUCCAAUUAACCAACAGCCAUAUCCUACAUAUUUGCUUUAGGUAUUACACUUUCAGUGGCUCAAUUAAGAUGUUACAUUUAGCAUGACACUGAACCAACAUCUGUCCAUAUCACUCCCUUGGCACAUAAAAUACUGACCUCUCAAAUAGUUACCGUUUCAUGUGUACACACUAUCUUCCUAUUAAUAAACAGACUACCAAUCCUAGCACUGACCUCUCAAAUAGUUACAGUUUCAUGUGCAUACACUAUCUUCCUAUUAAUAAACAGGCUACCAAUCCUAGCACAUGGAAGAAACUGAGAAUGUCAAUUACUCAGUAUGAGCCAAGUACAGGUACAUUAUCUUUACAUACACGGUCAAAGAAGAGGCUGGGCAUGGUGGCCCAUGCCUGUAAUCCCAGCACUCUGGGAGGCCGAGGCAGGCGGAUCACCUGAGGUCAGGAGUUUGAGACCAACCUGACAAACAUGGAGAAACCCCAUCUCUAGUAAAAAUACAAAAAUUAGCCGGGCGUGGUGGCGCAUGCCUGAACCCGGGAGGCGGAGGUUGCAGUGAGCUGAGAUCACGCCAUUGCACUCCAGCCUGGGCAACAAGAGCGAAACUCUAUCUCAAAAAAAAAAAAAAAAAAAAGGAAGAAGAUACCUUCUUUUGGGGAAAACUAUUUAACUGAAAUUCUAAAACAACAAUCCUGCCAUUCAUUCAUUUGUUCACGUAUCCAGUGUUUCCUCAGCAUCUACUACGAGCCAAGUACUGAGAUUAGAUAGGCAUGAGCCACUGUGCCUGGCCUAUUUUUUGUUUUUAUUUUUUAACAUUGUUUAAUUAAUUUAAAAAAUAAAUAGAGAUGAGGUCUUGCUAUAUUGCCCAGGCUGGUCUCAAACUCCUAGCCUUAAGCAGUUCUCUUGCAUCAGCCUCCCACAGUGCUGGGAGGCACUUUUAUAUCCUAUAAACUAAGGAUAUAAAGAUGAAGAACUAGGUCUGUGCUCUUAAAAUGUUCACAGUUUAUUAGGGAAAACAGAUAUGCAAAUAAAUUUUAAUAUAACUGUAUAAUUUAACAGUGUAUAAUUCAAUAGAAUUGUUCACUCAUUUGACAAAUAAAAUUUAGAUCAUAAUUAUUAUUUGCCAAAGACAGUACAAAGAUACUCAACAUAAUACUGGCCUAUGUUCCCAAGGAAUGUAAAGACAAUUACAGCAGAGUGUGACAAGUACUGUAAUAGAGAUAAGCAGAGGAUUUUGUGGGAGCACUGAGGAGCUAACACAAUCUUGACAUCUGGGGAAAGAUUCGCAGAAAGAGUGACAGGACAACAGAGCUGAGUUCUCAAGCAGCAUCAAGAGUCAAACAGAUCAAGAAUGGGAUAAAGGGUAUUCCAGGUAGAACAGAAUGUGAGAAAGCCCCGAAGUGGAGGCAAGCAUGGUUAGUUUGGAAGAACUGUGAGUAUUUAAUGUGAAUGGGGCACCUGGUGCUGGAGGGUGGUAUAACUAAGGCUCUUCGUGUAAGUGCAAGUAACAGGAACCACCUUGGGUUCCUUUAAAAACAAAAGGAAUUUAUUGGAAAAACAAUGGGUAACCUCACAGAUCUAACGCAAAGGCUAGAAAAAUCUAGGCUCUGAAAUUAGGCUGGUAUCAAGGUAGAGCAGGCAGCCAGAACUGCGGCUGAACCACUCACGGGAACAGUCUGGUGAAGACACCACUGCCUGUAUAACAUGAGAGCACCCUCACUAUUACCACUGCUACCACUGCCCCUGUCCAUGAUCUUCUGCGUCACUCACUGCAGAUUCAAAGUUCUACUGGCUGAGCCUGGGUCACAUUCCUGUGCUCUAGCUGCCAAGGAACAGGGAAAAAUGAGUACCUGAACUUUCCAGAUUUUGAGGUGUGAGACAGGUCCUGUUCCCCACCAAGACUCUGUAGAAUUUCCCAAAUGUAAGAAAAAAGUUCAGAUGCUAGACAGACAGACAGACAGACACACACACACACACAUAAAAGGCAAAUUUCCAUUACUUGGGACACAGUGAAAGACAAGCCA
rnacentral:lncRNA from 10 species